rnacentral:rRNA from 1 species
GACGAACGCUGGCGGCGUGCUUAACACAUGCAAGUCGAACGGAAAGGCCCUGCUUUUGUGGGGUGCUCGAGUGGCGAACGGGUGAGUAACACGUGAGUAACCUGCCCUUGACUUUGGGAUAACUUCAGGAAACUGGGGCUAAUACCGGAUAGGAGCUCCUGCUGCAUGGUGGGGGUUGGAAAGUUUCGGCGGUUGGGGAUGGACUCGCGGCUUAUCAGCUUGUUGGUGGGGUAGUGGCUUACCAAGGCUUUGACGGGUGGCCGGCCUGAGAGGGUGACCGGCCACAUUGGGACGGAGAUACGGCCCGAACUCCUACGGGAGGCAGCAGUGGGGAAUAUUGCACAAUGGGCGGAGGCCUGAUGCAGCAACGCCGCGUGCGGGAUGACGGCCUUCGGGUGGUAAACCGCUUUCGCCUGUGACGAAGCGUUAGUGACGGUAAUGGGUAAAGAAGCACCGGCUAACUACGUG